ensembl:lncRNA
UUCAGCACACUUUAAUCACGGCGUUAUCUCAGAGUGCAGCUCCAGCCCCAUAAAUCCUGCUGAGGCCAGAGGGAUGCGGGGUGCCCCAGCCCACGGGACCUAUCCCCAUAGCCAGGCACACAGCUGGGCAGAGCUCCCUGCGGCCUUAUCAACGCAGAGAAGUUGUAUUGCAGCAAUUACACGGCUGUUAAUUAUCGCACCAAGGCCAGUCGCUGCGCAGUGAGCAGCGAGCAGCCCCCGCAGCACAGUCUGGGAGGAAAAGGCAAAAAACACAGCACUUGCUUCUCAUGUCAGAGGACGGGAAAUCAAUCUUUGCUGCACUGACAGCCUCACCCUGCAAUGUACUCCCGCGUGUAAUGACUGCAAUAACUCAGCACGUGGAUUGCAGUGCCAGCCCUGCAGGCUGCGUGGGGGACGCGAGGGGAGGGCGCAGAGGGCUCCGUCCCCACGGUGCUGAGCUGGGUGUCACACUGAGCGGGUGUCACCCACGUGCUGAGGGCUCUGCUGGCUCAGGGACUCUCUCGGAUGCUGGUGGUGACCGCGUGGUCCCAGCAGCUGCCUGGCACUGGAUUGCAUUCAUCUCCCAGGCUGCACUCAGAGGGAAAUCCUUCAUUCCCAAGCCAGCCUGUCCAACUGAUAAUUUAGGCAGCUCCAGACAGAUAAGCAUUAUUUACAUCUGUUUAGUGAGCUGUAAUUAGCUGUGAUGAUUAGGCUCUAUCGUGGUGCCAUUUUUAAAAAUGUCUCUAAGUGGAAGGAAGGAAGGGGGAGGGGGGGGGCACACAGAGGACAACGUGGGACUGGGGGUUGUGUGCACCAUCCAUCCCUCGACUCCUCCAGGACGCCCACCCCAAAAGUGCCCAACACAGAGCCUGGGGCUUCCCUGGCACACAGCGGGGCUGGACGCAAACACCAUCCCCUGGAGCUCAAUGGGAACAGGCUGCAUGUCCUGGGGACAGGCUGGGAAUAGGUUGGGGAUAGGCUGGGGACAGGUUGGGGAUAAGUUGGGAAUAGACUGUUGACAGGCUGGGAAUAGACUGGGGACAGGCUGGGUAUAGGUUGGGAAUAGGUUAGGGAUAGCAAUAAGACACACUGGGGACACAUUGGGAGCAGGUUGGGGACAGGCUGGGUGGGCAUCAGGGCUGUGUCUGCACCUCUCACCCAGCCAUCAUAGGCUGGAGCUCAGCGUUUGGGUGCUCCCAGUGCUCCCCAGUGAGCCGGGCAGCUCUCCCCAUCCCUUCGUCCUCAGGCACCAAUGGGACCACGGGAGCAGAGGAAGCCCGGACCAGAAAUGCGUGCAGGGACGAUUUCCUCUGCAGACAGGAAAGCUCUGAGCGGGGCUUCAAGUGAUGCCGCUGCCGAGCUUUGAGCCUCCAGACGCUUCCUGCAAUGACAAAAGGCUUCCAGCUGAAGUUCCUCCAUUUCAGUCCCAAAGGCUCUGCAGCCGAGCGUAUCCCUGCCACUGCUGUCCCCUAUGGGGCUGUGGGGCUGGGCUUGAUCUCGGCUGGCUGUCGGGACGCAGAAAUGCCCUUUGUGUCUGAGCUGAGGCCUCCAGGCUCCAUCAAAGCUCUAUUUCUGCAGGCGGCAAACACAGCCUUCCUGUCUGCAAAUCAACAAUAUCACCACUUUCUAUUUCCCACCUUUCAAUUAAAGGGCUUUUUCCCAUUUAAGAAGCACAUCAGCGGGUGAAGGAGACAGGUAAGGGCUCAGUGCUGCAGCGGUUCCCUGCAUUGAUUUCUCAAAAACAAGUGCUUCAUGCCACUUGUUGGGCUACGGGGCAGGACGCCGUGUGCUCUGCCGCAGUUACAUGUAUUGCACGCUGCAUUUCCCAUGAGAUUUCAACAUUAUGGCCAAGGAAACUGAAAGCAAGGAGCUGAAAGCAAGCAGGUUAGUGGGGGUAAAGAGCCCUUAUGGGGUGUUUGGAAGGGAAAGAGGUAAGGCUUUGUUCCCCCGGGUGUCAAUGCAAGCAGCGGGUGCCGUGUGGGACUAUGCUGGUGCCACGGCCAUGAGCAUCCUCCCGUCCUGCACAGCCCGUGGUCGGCCCAGAGCUGCUAUUUCGGGCCGGGUAAACAGGAUGCACGGUGCACAGCCACCUCCUCUCCUCCAGCUCCUCCCGGGUAAACAGGCAGGGAACAGCCGGAGUGCUCCGCCUUGGCCUCCUCCUCUUCCUCCCCAAGGCACAGCUGCCCGUUGGCUGCACUCAGGGCCGUGGGGUCCGCGCACACCGUCUCACGGCUGCACCGCGCGUCCUGCAGCGGGGAUCCCGCACCGCUGCUUCCGUCUCCUGCACCGGGAAGGAGCGGCGGCGCGGCGGCGUUGGAAGGAGGAGCUCCGCACCGCUUCCUCCGGCUGCUUCGUUCCCUUUGAGGCGUGCAGCAGCCCGGGGCACGGCCGUGCCCAGCCCCACUGAGACGUGCGGUGGGGUUUUGCUGGGCUGGGGGGACGUAACCCAUCCCAGAAGCCCCAGUUCGAUGUUCCCUCUGGUCUGGGCGCUGCUGGCG